GGGUUGUGAGGUUAAGCGACUAAGCGUACACGGUGGAUGCCCUGGCAGUCAGAGGCGAUGAAGGGCGUGCUAAUCUGCGAUAAGCGCCGGUAAGGUGAUAUGAACCGUUAUAACCGGCGAUACCCGAAUGGGGAAACCCAGUGUGACUCGUCACACUAUCAUUAACUGAAUCCAUAGGUUAAUGAGGCGAACCGGGGGAACUGAAACAUCUAAGUACCCCGAGGAAAAGAAAUCAACCGAGAUUCCCCCAGUAGCGGCGAGCGAACGGGGAGGAGCCCAGAGUCUGAAUCAGCAUGUGUGUUAGUGGAAGCGUCUGGAAAGGCGCGCGAUACAGGGUGACAGCCCCGUACACAAAAGCGCAUGUGUUGUGAGCUCGAUGAGUAGGGCGGGACACGUGGUAUCCUGUCUGAAUAUGGGGGGACCAUCCUCCAAGGCUAAAUACUCCUGACUGACCGAUAGUGAACCAGUACCGUGAGGGAAAGGCGAAAAGAACCCCGGCGAGGGGAGUGAAACAGAACCUGAAACCGUGUACGUACAAGCAGUGGGAGCACAGGUUUACCUGUGUGACUGCGUACCUUUUGUAUAAUGGGUCAGCGACUUAUAUUCUGUAGCAAGGUUAACCGAAUAGGGGAGCCGGAGGGAAACCGAGUCUUAAUUGGGCGUUAAGUUGCAGGGUAU
rnacentral:rRNA from 1 species